rnacentral:rRNA from 1 species
GACGAACGCUGGCGGCGUGCCUAAUACAUGCAAGUCGAGCGGACUUUCAAGAAGCUUGCUUUUUGAAAGUUAGCGGCGGACGGGUGAGUAACACGUGGGCAACCUUCCUGCAAGACGGGGAUAACUCCGGGAAACCGGGGCUAAUACCGGAUAAUAUCUUCCUUCGCAUGAAGGAAGGUUUAAAGGCGGCUCACGCUGCCGCUUGCAGCUGUGCCCGCGGCGCAUUAGCUAGUUGGUGAGGUAACGGCUCACCAAGGCGACGAUGCGUAGCCGACCUGAGAGGGUGAGCGGCCACACUGGGACUGAGACACGGCCCAGACUCCUACGGGAGGCAGCAGUAGGGAAUCAUCCGCAAUGGACGAAAGUCUGACGGAGCAACGCCGCGGGAGCGAAGAAGGUCGUCGGAUCGGAAAGCUCUGUUGUCAGGGAAGAAAAAGUACCGUUCGAACAGGGCGGUACCUUGACGGUACCUGAACAGAAAGCCACGGCUAACUACGUG